GACAGAGGGGGCAAGCGUUGCUCGGAAUCACUGGGCGUAAAGGGCGCGUAGGCGGGAUGGCAAGUCAGUCGUGAAAUCUCUCGGCUCAACCGAGAAACGUCGGCUGAUACUGCCGUUCUUGAGGGAUGCAGAGGAGACUGGAAUUCCCGGUGUAGUGGUGAAAUGCGUAGAUAUCGGGAGGAACACCAGUGGCGAAGGGCGGCUUCCUGGCCUGUUCUUGACGCUGAGGCGCGAAAGCUAGGGGAGCAAACGGG
rnacentral:rRNA from 1 species